GUGCUCGCUUUGGCAGCACAUAUACUAAAAUAGGAACCCCUGAGUAAGGAUGAGAUAUAAAUUUGUGAAGAAGUCCAUAUUUGU
ensembl:snRNA U6 U6 spliceosomal RNA